UGUUCUGUGGCUUAGCUGCUUAAGGCGCUGGUCUAGCGAAUACGGAGUCGUGAGUUCAAUUCCCACCAGAAUGA
rfam:Aedes albopictus isolate Foshan contig119631, whole genome shotgun sequence.